rnacentral:misc_RNA from 1 species
AACGCACGAGACCUGCGGACCUGCGGAAGGAUCAUUAUCGAGUUUACAACUCCCAAACCAUUGUGAAUCUUACCUUUUCGUUGCUUCGGCGGGAUCGCCCCGGGCGCUUCGGUGCCCCGGAUUCAGGCGCCCGCCGGGGGACCUAAACUCUUGUAUUAUAGUGGAUUUCUGAGUGGAUUACACAAAUAAUCAAAACUUUCAACAAUGGAUCUCU